AACAAAUGUUGGCUGCCCAAUAAUAAUACAUAUCAUUCGGCAGUUCUCCAUCUCCCUUCUGCCAUUCUGAAAACACGGGUGUACAUUUAAUUCCUUGAAAAGUGACCUUGGUAAAAGAAUAGUAUUAAUCACCAGAGUUAAAUCUGCCAGCCAGCAACAAAAGAAGGGAUGACUACUACUCAAUAUCUUGUUUGGCUUUAUCCAGGGCUAUCUUAAAAUUAUUGUGAAACAAAUUCUUAUAUCUUUCAGUCACAGACACACCUAAAUAUGUAAAUCUUAGAGCAGUUAAUUAAUCAAUUAGUUGACUGUCGGAAAGUUAACCAGCAACUAUUUUGAUCACUGCAAAAAUGUCAACCCUUCAGUGGUUCCUGUCUGUAAAUGAUGAAUAUUUUCUGUUCUUCUUUGUAAACUGAAUAUAUUGGACUGUUGGUCAAACAAAGUAGGACAUAUGAAGAUGUCAGCUUGGACUUUGGGAACACAUAUUGCUAUUUGCUGACAUUCUACAAACCCAAUGUAAUAGAGAAAACCAUCGGUAGAUUAAACAAUAAUGCAAAUAAGUUUAAGUAGCAGUCUGAUCAAAUUUAUAAGGUUAUUAAAUGUGUAGACUUAUUUUUGCUACCAGAGCGGCAAGACCACAUUAGAGAGCCCCAUUAACCAACAGACCUCUGCCACUUCACUCAUCCACAUAACUUCAAGUUUCCUAUCAAUCAGCAUUACAACUUUGGUGUUUUGCAGCAACUGAUAAGAAGCAACAUAAUAAGCCAACAGUGAGAUUGUGUGUAUAUACGCACUUUAUGACUUUCUCACAUUACUCAAGGACAUACAAAUGACAAGUUCUUAAAAGACCAUAAGCGACAUACUGUGUGUUUGUUCGGUUGCUUUCAUGGCAACAGCAAUAAUGUGACAGACACUACAGUUCCUGUAUCAGUGAGUAAUGACUAUCUGAAAUCCACUCACAGAAACUAAAAUAAAGUGUCGCUGAAAUGACGACGACAAAAUAAAAUGAUCUGUACUGGAUUGCUUACCAAGACAAAGUCCAUGUUUGAAGAGUUGUCCGUGAGCAAGUUAAACAACCAACUUUUCAGAGUAGUGUGAAAAACAGGAAACACAGUAAGAACACAUACCACCACUUACAUCCAACCCCUGUAUCCGGCUCUUGAAUUAGUCACACACAUGUCCACAGUCCUUGUGUCUGACACUGUUUUCACAGAGGCGGAGUUAUUGGAAUCAGGCAAAGGAACUCCUGCGCUGGCGUUGCCACCAAGAGUCAUGUCACUGUAUGUGACAGUGUGUGUGGGGGGGUGUUAUGUGAUCUUUACUGUGUUUCCUGUUUUUCGCACUACUUCCCUGAAAACUCCAAAGAACUGACAUCUCUGACUUACAAACACCGACAGACAUACACGCAGGGUUCCUUUAACACUUUAUUUGAGUCAGCUUUAAAAGGAACAGAUGGCUAAAAGUCAGAUUGCCUCAUUCAGUUUUCUCACUGACACUUGCCUUCCUUUCCACUGGACAGAGUUACACAGAGCGGACGGAACAAACCAGUAAUUCAUGUUAUGCAAUGUGUCCAGCUGGAUAUCAUAAGGCCGGUGACUGAGCAGGACAGUACAUAUGUAAAAAAUGUGGAAACGACGAAUACACCGAAGUACUAAACUUAUUACCGAAAUGCCAGAAGUGUGACUCGUGUAGUCUGACACACAGACUAAGAGAAGAGAUGAUCAGAUUCACCUUCAGACCAAAUUAACAACUUCUUCUGAGUGAGUUCAGCUACAGGAGAGAAAAGAGGAAAACUACAACACUGCUGCUUCAACCUGCAGACGCUCCACACACUGAAGCUUCAUCAGAUACAAAAUGGCUUUCAGAUUAGAGGACGAACUCUGUUGUCCGGUCUGUCAGGACGUCUUCAGAGAUCCCGUUCUUUUGUCAUGUAGCCACAGCUUCUGUAAAAACUGUCUGAGUAGCUGGUGGAGACAGAAACAAGCACGUGAGUGUCCAGUUUGUAAGAGAAUAUCUUCAAGGAAUAAACCACAUUGUAACCGGGUGUUGAAGAACCUGUGUGAGGCCUUCUUGUUGGAGAGAGAUCAGAGAGCUUCAGAGGCUCUCUGCAGUCUGCACUCUGAGAAACUCAAACUCUUCUGUCUGGACCAUCAGCAGCCAGUGUGUCUCAUCUGCAGAGAUUCAGAAAAGCACAGCAACCACAGAUUCAGACCCAUCGAUGAAGCUGCACGACAACACAAGAAGGAACUUCAGGAAACUCUGGAGCCCUUAAAGGAGAAGUUAAAGGUUUGUGAACAAGUUAAAGUGAAGUUUGACCAAACA